GUGGGUGUGGUGUAUGGAACACAGCUGCUGUGCUUAAGCGACUGCGCACUUUGUGUAGCAGACCCGGGUUCGAUUCCCGGCACCCACA